GACGAACGCUGGCGGCGUGCCUAAUACAUGCAAGUCGAGCGGACAGAAGGGAGCUUGCUCCCGGAUGUUAGCGGCGGACGGGUGAGUAACACGUGGGUAACCUGCCUGUAAGACUGGGAUAACUCCGGGAAACCGGAGCUAAUACCGGAUAGUUCCUUGAACCGCAUGGUUCAAGGAUGAAAGACGGUUUCGGCUGUCACUUACAGAUGGACCCGCGGCGCAUUAGCUAGUUGGUGAGGUAACGGCUCACCAAGGCGACGAUGCGUAGCCGACCUGAGAGGGUGAUCGGCCACACUGGGACUGAGACACGGCCCAGACUCCUACGGGAGGCAGCAGUAGGGAAUCUUCCGCAAUGGACGAAAGUCUGACGGAGCAACGCCGCGUGAGUGAUGAAGGUUUUCGGAUCGUAAAGCUCUGUUGUUAGGGAAGAACAAGUGCAAGAGUAACUGCUUGUACCUUGACGGUACCUAACCAGAAAGCCACGGCUAACUACGUGCCAGCCGCCGCAGUAAAAC
rnacentral:rRNA from 1 species